rnacentral:pre_miRNA from 17 species
CUCGGGAGGGGCGGGAGGGGGGUCCCCGGUGCCCGGAUCUCGAGGGUGCUUAUUGUUCGGUCCGAGCCUGGGUCUCCCUCUUCCCCCCACCCCCCC